rnacentral:rRNA from 1 species
GUGCCUAACACAUGCAAGUCGAGCGAUCUUCUUCGGAAGAGAGCGGCGGACGGGUGAGUAACGCGUGGGUAACCUGCCUCAUACACAUGGAUAACAUACCGAAAGGUAUGCUAAUACAAGAUGAUAUAAGAGAUUCGCAUGGAUUUCUUAUCAAAGCUCCGGCGGUAUGAGAUGGACCCGCGUCUGAUUAGCUAGUUGGUAAGGUAACGGCUUACCAAGGCGACGAUCAGUAGCCGACCUGAGAGGGUGAUCGGCCACAUUGGAACUGAGACACGGUCCAAACUCCUACGGGAGGCAGCAGUGGGGAAUAUUGGGCAAUGGAGGGAACCCUGACCCAGCAACGCCGCGUGAGGGAAGAAGGUUUUCGGAUUGUAAACCUCUGUUCUUGGGGAAGAGUGAAAGACGGUACCCAAGGAGGAAGCCCCGGCUAACUACGUGCCAGCAGCCGCGGUAAUACGUAGGGGGCGAGCGUUGUCCGGAAUGAUUGGGCGUAAAGGGCGCGUAGGCGGCUUUGCAAGUCAGUAGUGGAAGUCCAUUUUUCAAGGAUGGAAGUGCUACAGAAACUGCGGAGCUUGAGUGCAGGAGAGGUUAUCGGAAUCCCCGGUGUAGCGGUGAAAUGCGUAGAGAUCGGGAGGAACACCAGUGGCGAAGGCGGGUAACUGGACUGCAACUGACGCUGAGGCGCGAAAGUGUGGGGAGCAAACAGGAUUAGAUACCCUGGUAGUCCACACUGUAAACGAUGAAUGCUAGGUGUAGGAGGUAUCGACCCCUUCUGUGCCGCAGUAAACACAGUAAGCAUUCCGCCUGGGGAGUACGGUCGCAAGAUUAAAACUCAAAGGAAUUGACGGGGGCCCGCACAAGCAGCGGAGCAUGUGGUUUAAUUCGAAGCAACGCGAAGAACCUUACCAGGUCUUGACAUCCAGUUAAACUUGUAGAGAUAUGAGGUCCCUUCGGGGGAACUGAGACAGGUGGUGCAUGGUUGUCGUCAGCUCGUGUCGUGAGAUGUUGGGUUAAGUCCCGCAACGAGCGCAACCCUUGCCAAUAGUUACUAACGAGUGAAGUCGAGGACUCUAUUGGGACCGCCGGGGACAACUCGGAGGAAGGUGGGGACGACGUCAAAUCAUCAUGCCCCUUACGACCUGGGCUACACACGUGCUACAAUGGCCGAGACAGAGAGCGGCGAAGGAGCGAUCUGGAGCGAAUCUCAAAAAAGCGGUCACAGUUCGGAUUGUGGGCUGCAACCCGCCCACAUGAAGCAGGAGUUGCUAGUAAUCGCGAAUCAGCAUGUCGCGGUGAAUACGUUCCCGGGCCUUGUACACACCGCCCGUCA